GACGAACCGUCCUAACGUUGUUCGGAAUCACUGGGCUUAAAGGGCGCGUAGGCGGGUUCCCAAGUCGGUGGUGAAAUCUUUCGGCCCAACCGGAAAACAGCCGCCGAUACUGGGAGUCUUGAGGGAGGUAGGGGUCGAUGGAACUUCCGGUGGAGCGGUGAAAUGCGUAGAUAUCGGAAGGAACGCCGGUGGCGAAAGCGAUCGACUGGACCUUUUCUGACGCUGAGGCG
rnacentral:rRNA from 1 species